UGCAAGUCGAGCGCGGGAAGCCGGCGGACUCCUUCGGGAGGAAACCGGUGGAACGAGCGGCGGACGGGUGAGUAACACGUGGGCAACCUGCCGGACUGAUGGCGAAUAACCCCGGGAAACCGGGGCUAAUGCCCAAUACGCCCUGACCUCGCCUGAGGUCAGCGGUAAAGCAGGGAUCUUCGGAUCCUUGCACAGUCCGAUGGGCCCGCGGCGCAUUAGCUAGUUGGAGAGGUAAGGGCUCCCCAAGGCGACGAUGCGUAGCCGACCUGAGAGGGUGAUCGGCCACACUGGGACUGAGACACGCCCAGACUCCUACGGGAGGCAGCAGUAGGGAAUCAUCCGCAAUGGGCGAAAGCCUGACGGUGCAACGCCGCGUGAGUGAUGAAGGUUUUCGGAUCGUAAAGCUCUGUUGACAGGGAAGAACCCACGUCAGUCGAACAGGCUGGCGUGCUGACGGUACCUGACCAGAAAGCCCCCGGCUAACUACGUGCCAGCAGCCGCGGUAAUACGUAGGGGGCAAGCGUUGUCCGGAAUUAUUGGGCGUAAAGGGCACGCAGGCGGUUUCGUCAGUCCGAUGUGACAGGCCACGGCUCAACCGUGGAAGGCCAUUGGAAACUGCGAAACUUGAGGACAGAAGAGGAGAGUGGAAUUCCACGUGUAGCGGUGAAAUGCGUAGUAUAUGUGGAGGAACACCAGUGGCGAAGGCGACUCUCUGGUCUGUACCUGACGCUGAGGUGCGAAAGCAUGGGGAGCAAACAGGAUUAGAUACCCUGGUAGUCCAUGCCG
rnacentral:rRNA from 1 species